ACAAACUUGGUCAUUUAGAGGAAGUAAAAGUCGUAACAAGGUAACCGUAGGUGAACCUGCGGUUGGAUCAUUAAAAAAUGAUUGGUCUCGUGCCAAAUCGACACCUGUGUGCACCAUUGUCUGUAUUUGGUAGCUCGAGCGCGUUCCGGGAGCUCAACACUCCACUUCGGAACGCCUACCCUUGUGGGUUGUAUAUCUUUCUCCGGAGAUGAUGGGAUUUGAGCCGGUGGUUAAUUCCGCUGGACGCCCAGAGCUGAAGGGGGAGGAUCCGCUCGGGUUGGGCUACCGCCAUUUUUUGCAAUAACCUUUUGUUUUGUUCUUAACAGCCUGAACGAAGAGUUAAUCUUUACCGAUUAAUGAUUUGAAAACAACUUUUGACAACGGAUCUCUUGGCUCUCGCAUCGAUGAAGAACGCAGC
rnacentral:misc_RNA from 1 species